rnacentral:rRNA from 1 species
GACGUAGGGCGCAAGCGUUGUCCGGAUUUAUUGGGCGUAAAGAGCUCGUAGGCGGCUUGUUGCGUCGACUGUGAAAAACCACGUCUCAACCGUGGGACUGCAGUCGAUACGGGCAGGCUAGAGUUCGGUAGGGGAGACUGGAAUUCCUGGUGUAGCGGUGAAAUGCGCAGAUAUCAGGAGGAACACCGGUGGCGAAGGCGGGUCUCUGGACAGUUCCUGACGCUGAGGCACGAAGGCCAGGGGAGCAAACGGG